GAAUUUAGCGGCGGAACGGGGUGAAUAACACAUGGGCAACCCUUCCUUAUUAGAGGGGAAUUACCUUUUCGAAAGGGAGAUUAUUCCCGCAUUAAGAUUGUGUUCCCGCAUGGUCCAGCAAUUAAAAGGAGCAAUUCCCUUUGAGAGGGGCCCGCGGGCGCAUUAGUUAGUUGGUGAGGUUAACGGCUUCCACCAAGGCGACGAUGCGUAGCCGACUGGAGAGGGUGAUCGGCCACAAUGGGACUGAGACACGGCCCAGAUUCUUACGGGAGGCAGCAGUGGGGAAUAUUGCACAAUGGGGGAAACCCUGAUGCAGCAACGCCGCGUGAGUGAUGACGGCCUUCGGGUUGUAAAGCUCUGUCUUCAGGGACGAUAAUGACGGUACUUGAGGAGGAAGCCACGGCUAACUACGUGCCAGCAGCCGCGGUAAUACGUAGGGUGCGAGCGUUGUCCGGAAUUAUUGGGCGUAAAGAGCUCGUAGGCGGUUUGUUGCGCCUGCUGUGAAAACCUGGGGCUUAACUUCGGGAUUGCAGUGGGUACGGGCAGACUAGAGUGUGGUAGGGGUAAUUGGAAUUCCUGGUGUAGCGGUGGAAUGCGCAGAUAUCAGGAGGAACACCGAUGGCGAAGGCAGGUUACUGGGCCACCACUGACGCUGAGGAGCGAAAGCGUGGGUAGCGAACAGGAUUAGAUACCCUGGUAGUCCACGCCGUAAACGUUGGGCACUAGGUGUGGGGCCUUUCCAUGGUUCUGCGCCGUAGCUAACGCAUUAAGUGCUCCG
rnacentral:rRNA from 1 species